rnacentral:rRNA from 1 species
AGUUUGAUCAUGGCUCAGAACGUACGCUGGCGGCACGCCUAACACAUGCAAGUCGAACGAAGUAGCAAUACUUAGUGGCAGACGGGUGAGUAACAUGUAGGUAUCUGCCCUUUGGCCUGGAAUAACACGAGGAAACUUGUGCUAAUACCGGAUAAGUCUUUACNGAGAAAGCUUUAUGCACCAUUGGAUGAGCCUGCACUUGAUUAGUUUGUUGGUAGGGUAAUGGCCUACCAAGACUGUGAUCAAUAGCUGAUUUGAGAGGAUGAUCAGCCACAUUGGGACUGAGACACGGCCCAAACUCCUACGGGAGGCAGCAGUGGGGAAUCUUGCACAAUGGAGGAAACUCUGAUGCAGCGAUGCCGCGUGAGUGAAGAAGGCCUUUGGGUUGUAAAGCUCUUUCGUCGGGGAAGAAAAUGACUGUACCCGAAUAAGAAGGUCCGGCUAACUUCGUGCCAGCAGCCGCGGUAAUACGAAGGGACCUAGCGUAGUUCGGAAUUACUGGGCUUAAAGAGUUCGUAGGUGGUUGAAAAAGUUGGUGGUGAAAUCCCAGAGCUUAACUCUGGAACUGCCAUCAAAACUUUUCAGCUAGAGUUUGAUAGAGGAAAGCAGAAUUUCUAGUGUAGAGGUGAAAUUCGUAGAUAUUAGAAAGAAUACCAAUUGCGAAGGCAGCUUUCUGGAUCAUUACUGACACUGAGGAACGAAAGCAUGGGUAGCGAAGAGGAUUAGAUACCCUCGUAGUCCAUGCCGUAAACGAUGUGUGUUAGACGUUG